UACGUAGGCAGCGAGCGUUGUUCGGAGUUACUGGGCGUAAAGAGUGCGUAGGCGGUUUUCUAAGUUUGGUGUGAAAUCUCCCGGCUCAACUGGGAGGGUGCGCCGAAGACUGGAAGGCUUGAGUAUGGGAGAGGUAAGCGGAAUUCCUGGUGUAGCGGUGAAAUGCGUAGAGAUGCGGAGGAACACCGAUGGCGAAGGCAGCCCCCUGGGCUAACACUGACGCUCAGGCACGAAAGCGUGGGGAGCAAACGA
rnacentral:rRNA from 1 species